rnacentral:rRNA from 1 species
UACAGAGGGGGCAAGCGUUAUUCGGAAUUAUUGGGCGUAAAGGGCGCGUAGGCGGCUUUCUAAGUCAGGGGUGAAAUCCUGGAGCUCAACUCCAGAACUGCCUUUGAUACUGGAGAGCUUGAGUCCGGAAGAGGUGAGUGGAACUCCGAGUGUAGAGGUGAAAUUCGUAGAUAUUCGGAAGAACACCAGUGGCGAAGGCGGCUCACUGGUCCGGUACUGACGCUGAUGUGCGAAAGCGUGGGGAGCAAACAGGG